rnacentral:lncRNA from 1 species
AAUAGUCUUUAAGAACUCCUUGUAAAAUUAAACUGCUCCCUACUGGGGAAACUUUUUAAACCGUUGGUCAAGGUGACUAUGGUCAGGGCUACUAGAGCAUAUAGAAAGUUGAGACAAAGCAGGAACCCUUCUUAGGGACCUGACAGACAUCCCCCCCAAGCAAGCCAGAGUCAAACAAUGCUUUGGUUCCCUAAAGAAACUAAAGGAUAACAUCUUAACAUAUGUUCUUGAGUUAUUUUUCAGAAACUCCUACCAGAUGGAAAAUGAGGUCUAUCACAUAGACUUCAGAUAAGGGGGAAUGAUACAGACUUCAGAUAAGGGGGAACUGAGGACUGAACUUUGAUCAUCUUUCUUUGUUUCAAAUUUCUUCCUGAGGACCCUGGAGAGAGUCACAGGUAUGGACCAGACCAACCUAACACCUCCAUGUAUCGGUAUGUGAUUUUGCUUGCAAUUUCCCCUUUCCCGAAAUGCACCCCUGCCUUUAAGAACCCUUGCUUGUCAGCCAAUGGGGAGCUCAGGUCUUAAGUGUUAGCCACCUCUAUUCUCCCUGCUUGGCACCAUGCAUAAAUGCCCUUUCUCUUGCUGCAAAUCUCUGCAUCAGUGUCUGACUUUACUGCAUUGGGUAAGGGGACCCCAGUUUGGUUUGGUAACAAAGCCUUCAGGCAACUUAGAGACUGGCUCUCUCAGCAUGUGUGUCUUAGGAAAAGGGGCCUCUCUGACCCAGCCUCUUGCCCACUGAUGGGGUUUCUUUGUGCAGGACUUAACACUGUAACCAACAGCAAAACCUAAGUGGGCUGACUAGAAAGAGAGGUAGGACAGUGCCAGUGUGCUGGCUCGGCGUUGCCUUAUCUGGUUAGCCAUGAAAGUUUAUAAUAGAGCUUGUCUAUGUUGCCAAUAGUUUACAAUGCAGUUUAGUUACUUGAGUUGCUGCCAUACUCUUUCAUCUAUACAGAAAUCAAAAUUGGCUAUAUCAGGUGUAGGGGCAAAGAGAAUUUUCCCUCCCCUCCUGAAGGCUCGAGUCUGUGGAAAUAAACUGACAAUAGACAGAUAGAAGGAGAAAAGACAUAGAAAGUUAUUAAUGUGCGUAAGCAUGGGAAUCAUACAAAAUAUGAGACUCAAAGAGGGGCCGGAUGGCUGAAGCUUAAAUAACACCCUCUUCAUAGGAGAAAUGGAGAUGGGAAAAUAAAGGCAAUGUUGAGGAGUAGUAAGCAAUUUUUAGGAUAAUUUAAUAGGCAGAAAAUAAUGAUUCUCUUUGGAAAUUGAAUGGGACUGGACGACAGGCAAUAGCUUCUGAAAAAGCCUAGGUGUGAUGACAUUCUUCAGUUUUCCUUCCUACAAUAUGAGUUUAAUCUCCCCUGGUCAAUGAUAUUUCAGGGAGGAGACUGAAGUCCAUUGUGCUCCUUCUGGAGAAGCUUCAGAUAAGAGAACUUCAGAGACAGAGGAGUUCUAUCCUGUGCUUGGAGGUAGAGGCAGGGGAAGGUUAAAGUUAUAAUAAAUGAAAAAUAUACUUCAGGCUUAUCACCUUUUCAAAAUAAAAAAUCAAUGUGGGUGGAGUACAAAACUGAUAAUAUUUAAUACCUAUACAUAAAAUGCCUUUGGUGCUAUGUAUAUUGAUUGUAAUGUUUAUGAAACUGCCUUUGCAAAAUUAUAACAGCAAGAGAAAUGUGACAUAGUUGACCCCAUCUUGCUUCUGAUCUCCAAGCUGUUUUUGGUUAUUCCUGGGUAUAGGCCAAGCUAAAUUUAGCAGAAAUUUAGUUUAUAGUUUAACUUAAAAGCAAGGGUGAUAAUAGUCCUUCUUUAAAAAAUAACCCCCUCCUUGCUGAAAACAGCCUUUGUAAGACUAAUGAAAGGCCACAGGAAUAAGAUUAUAGGAGGGGCCUGAACUCUGAUAAAUUUAUAUAGUUUCUAUAAUCCCUGACUGCUCAGGAGUCAUGUGGCCAGAAAUCACAAGUUUUGUGAGUUCCCCAGUUGCUCCUAUAAAAAACAUCACUUCUGUAAAACUUAAGACUUUUUUAGAGAUUCUUUUUCAGACUUUUUGGCAACCAACUGACCCCAC